GACAGAGGGUGCAAACGUUGUUCGGAAUUACUGGGCGUAAAGCGUGUGUAGGCGGCCAUGUAAGUCGGAUGUGAGAGCCCCGGGCUUAACCCGGGAAGUGCACUCGAUACUGCGUGGCUUGAGUAUCGGAGAGGUUGGUGGAAUUCUCGGUGUAGAGGUGAAAUUCGUAGAUAUCGAGAGGAACACCGGUGGCGAAGGCGGCCAACUGGACGAAUACUGACGCUGAGACACGAAAGCGUGGGGAGCAAACAGG
rnacentral:rRNA from 1 species